rnacentral:rRNA from 1 species
GACGUAGGGCGCGAGCGUUGUCCGGAUUUAUUGGGCGUAAAGAGCUCGUAGGCGGCUUGUUGCGUCGACCGUGAAAACCCGGGGCUCAACUUCGGGCUUGCGGUGGAUACGGGCAGACUUGAGUUCGGUAGGGGAGACUGGAAUUCCUGGUGUAGCGGUGAAAUGCGUAGAUAUCGUAAGGAAGACCAGUGGCGAAGGCGGGUCUCUGGACAGUUCCUGACGCUGAGGCACGAAGGUCAGGGGAGCAAACGGG